rnacentral:lncRNA from 1 species
AGAAAUUAAAAUUGUAGCAAGUACAUCAUUUUCCACAUGAAGCAUGUGUGACUUCAUUUUUGGCAAGGUGCUAGCUUUGAAAAUACCAAUGGAGUUAUAAGAGGAGAUCUGAAAGAAGACACCAGAGGAUUGCCAGGCUCCUCUCUCUUAGCAUUCUGGUCAUUAAAAUACCAGGGGAGCUAUGUGGAGAGAGCAGAAAUAGGAAUGUAUACUGCCACCAGCCUUGCCCUCUAGGGCUUCUUCCAAGGGCAAGUCCUCCAUUACUUCUUUUGACACGUUUAUUUUUGAACAGGUAAUGUAUUUAGAUGGUUCAAAAGGCAAAAAUAUUAAGGGCAAAAAGUGGAAAGCUAAUUCUGCCUAAUUCUCAUGACUACUGCUUAUCAACUCCAUAUAGCCACACCGAGUGGCUUCUUCUGUAUUCUUAUAAAGUUCCUUUAUAUACUACAAGGAAAUAGGAACAUAUACUCCCUAUUUUUCCUCUCUUUAGCAUAAACUGUACCAGAUUCUAUACGUUCUUUUCAUUUAACAAUAUUCCUUUGAAUCUUUUCCCAUCAAUGCAUAAUUUGCCCAUUCUCUGUUCCUGAUGCAUGGUGUGGAUGGUAUGGGUGUUAUAUUCAUCAGUCCAAGUUCCCUACUGAUGGCUCGUUCCAACCAAGUACUAUUAAAUAUAAUACUGCAUUGAAUAUCCUUAUUUACAUAUUAUUUUCCACUCAUAGAAGUUUCCAGCUGUGGAACUACUGGAUCAUAGGGUACAUGCAUUUUUAAUUUUUAUAUACUAUAAAGUUAGAUUGCUUUCCUUAGGGACCCUAGGAAUUUAUACUUCCAGCAAUAACACAUCAGUGCUGUCUCCACCAAAACAACAGCUCCCCUCACCUACCCCACUCAAAGAGCCGAGAAAACAGUGAUGCUUGAAGCCAUGAAGUUUUGGGGUAGUUUGUU